ACACAUCACCACGAGACUUUCCAGUGUGCUUUGUCCUCACUCGCACACUUUCCGGGAAGUGCGAGUGAGGACAAAGCACACUGGAAAGUCUCGUGGUGAUGUGUG
rnacentral:pre_miRNA from 1 species